rnacentral:tRNA from 1 species
GGGGGUGUAGCUCAGUUGGUUAGAGCGCCGGCCUGUCACGCCGGAGGUCGCGGGUUCGAGCCCCGUCACUCCCGC